rnacentral:lncRNA from 1 species
UUGCUGCAUCGGUUCUGGUAUUGAGUUUGUUGUUCACAGUUUUCUUGAAGCGGAGGAGAUCGAAGAAGGAGAAUAAGUCAGACGCUGAGGUCACUGAAUGGUCUCCUUUGCCAUUGUACAGAGGUGGUGGGAGUUCCGACAAUAGACCUUCUGAUCCGGUCAACAAUUCUCCAUUACGCAGCAAUAGAACUUUUGAUCCGGUCCAUAAUUCGCCAUUACGCAACCUAAACUUAGGCUUGACCAUUCCCUUCAUAGACAUUAUGAGAGCUACAAACAAUUUCGAUGAGCAGUGGUUGAUCGGGAGAGGCGGUUUUGGAGACGUUUACAAAGCCAUUCUUCAAGAUGGAAGCAAAGCGGCUAUCAAGAGAGGCAAGAGUGGUUCAGGACAAGGACUAUUGGAGUUUCAAACAGAGAUUCAAGUCCUGUCGAGAAUCCGGCACAGGCACCUCGUUUCUCUAACGGGUUACUGCGAAGAGAACUCGGAGAUGAUCCUUGUCUACGAGUUUAUGGAGAAAGGUACGCUUAAAGAGCAUCUAUACGGCUCGGAUUUGCCUUCACUGACAUGGAAACAGAGACUAGAGAUUUGCAUCGGAGCAGCUAGAGGUUUGCAUUAUCUCCACAGUGGCUCAGAAGGAGCAAUCAUUCACAGAGAUGUCAAAUCCACAAACAUACUACUAGACGAGAACACCGUAGCCAAAGUCGCGGAUUUCGGGCUCUCAAACUCGCGGUUCGUAAUCAAGAUCCAAUCAAUAUCAGCACUAACAUCAAAGGAACAUUCGGUUACCUCGAUCCUGAGUAUCUGCAGACACACAUCUUGACGGAGAAAUCAGAUGUUUACGCUUUCGGAGUCGUUCUCCUCGAGGUCCUGUGCGCGAGAUCGGCUCUCGAUCCUUCUCUUCCUCACGAGGAAGUGAAUCUAGCGGAGUGGGCGAUGUUCUGCAAAUCCAAAGGGAUAAUCGAUGAGAUCUUAGAUCCGAAAUUGAUAGGUCAGAUCGAGCCGAGUUCGUUGAGGAAAUACAUGGAAAUCGCGGAGAAGUGUUUGAAAGAGUACGGCGACGAGAGGCCGAGCAUGGGGGAUGUGAUCUGGGAUCUGGAGUAUGUUCUUCAGCUUCAGAUGAUGCCGAUUCGCAGAGAGCCUCACGAGGAUAGCGCCGCGACGAUCUCCGGCGGCGGAGGCGAAAGCUCGUUGGUGAUUCCGAGGUUGAUGGUGAGUGAUUCGUUUAGCUCAAACUCGAUUGUUCAGAAGAACGAAGGGAAGAGUAGCUAUGGAGGUACAGAUUCAUCGGAGAGUCGAGUUUUCUCCCAAUUGAAGAUCUCCGAAGCAAGAUAAAAUUUCCUAUGAAACAUUCUGAUUUGAAAAGCGUCUGGUUUAAAGCUUUUGAUAUUAAAAACCGGUUAUUGCCGGUUUAAAUAUAAUCAUUUUAAAACAUAUGCAAAGUAACGAGUCAAUUGAAUGUAAUAUAAAAUUAAAACCCGGUUAUCGUCGGUUUAAAGUUAAUUAUUCUAAGACAAAUGCUAAUUUCCGAAUCGAAAAACAAUUCAAUUUAAUUAACCGAUAAAAACCUAAUUUCAAGAAAAGUUCUGAUUUGAUAAGUGAUUGGUUUAAUUUUUGAAAUUGAAACCCGGUUCCUGCCGGUAUAACGACUCAGCUGUUUGUGAUGUCGGCGAUGAACGAGUCCAGAUUCCGAGCCGAUGAUCCACCAGACGCCAACGCCGAUCUCGCCGCGUGCUUCAGCUCCGUCACUCUCCUCCUCAUAUCCGCGGCGGCAGAUCCUUCCCUCACGGCCUCAAUACAUCUCUCCACCUCUUCAACCUUAAGCUCUCCGUCGACAGCGUCGUUCCUCAUCCUCACUCCGAUCCCGAACACAUCCACAAGCAAUCUCGCGUCAAGCGGCUGAUCAAUCCAGCUCGGGUACGCCACCACCGGAACACCAGUCACCACCGUCUCCAUCGUCGAGUUCCAUCCACAGUGCGUGACGAAACAAGAGAUCGCCACGUGACUCAGUAUCCACUCUUGUGGACCCCACUCAAUCACAAUACCUUGACCUUCUCUAACCAUCUCCUGCAAAACGUCGACGUUUUCGCCUUUCUCCUUUGGCCUAAUCACCCAGAGAAACGAAACUCCUCUGUUUCUCAGAGCCGUUGCUAUGCUCUUAACUUGAGUCUCCGAAGAUUUCAGCAAACUUCCAAAAGAAAUGUAAACAACCGAAGACCUAGCUUGCUUGUCAAGCCACUCCAUACAAUACUCAUCCGAUUUCCACAUAUCAAGAUUUUUACCAUCUAGGGUUUUGUCUUCUUCAUCAGCUCCCAACAGAAAUGGAGAAACCAGAGGACCAAUUGGGAUCAUGGGUUUUAAACCAGACAUCGAUUCGAUUAUCUCUGAUUCGAGCUCGUAGAACGAAUUAACCAAAACCCAUUUCACAUCUUUCAAGCAAUCGACGAACUCCACCAUUAGGCUAUUGAAAUGACUUCCUGAAGAAGGCAAGAGAAACGAAGGGAGAUCUCCAACUUCCAACAAUGGUAAACCUGGCAAUUCAACCGUUUGAUUCAAAUCUUCGAGAUUCUCAGGGAAAGCAUUCGUCUUCAUGUAGUAACGGUAAUAAACCGAGAAAGCUCCACAAGCUUCGAUCCAGAGGAUUGCACAGGGGAUGUUAUAUGCAGCUGCAACACUUGGAACCCAUGGAGCAAAAGGCACAGUGACGAUGCAAGAGAAUCUCUUUGAUUCGACGAUUUUAGACAAGUUCUUGGCUCCGACUUUUUUCAACGAUGGUAUGAGAGAAUCUGCGGCUCUUGUGUGGUCUUUAGGCAGACCGUCGGGGAAGAAAGCAAGGUCCACUGGGCUACGGUGAUGUUCUUCGGCGGCGGUGGUGGUGGAGAGGAGGUCACGGGUUUUCUCGGUGGUAGCGAGAGUGAAGCUAAGGUUUGGUCGUGAGAGAUGUUUGGCGAAUUUGAGCAUUGGAUUAAGAUGACCUUGAAAUGGUAGUGCUACCAAUAGAACAUGUGUUUCUUGACCCUCACUAUUUCUCAUUUCUGCUUUGUUUAGAGGUGUUACUUAUUAGACUUGAGUUGUGUAUGAGAUUGUGUGUAACUUGUAAUUGUGGUGGUAUAUAUAACAAUGGUUGCUUAACGAUAGAUUUUUGCUUAAAAUGAAGUUAUUAAGUGAGAUUUUGGUAAGAAAAAUCUAUAUAUAGUAAAAAUUGGUAACCCAAUAAAAUGUAAUAGAUUCAAAAGUUACCACGUUUAUUAGCACCCUGCGCCUUGUCCUUAACUCAAUUCAAAUCUUGUAUAAUUGUUGACCAAAAAAACACGAUAUAUAUACCAAUUCUAGUAUGGUUAAAGUCAACAGUCAUUACUAAUGAUUUAUGAAUCUUUUUGUAUAGUGUGACACUGAGAUCAUUGUAAUUUGUUAAUGACAAUCUAUAAACUGUAAUUGGUAAUCCAAUAAACGUUGGUCAAUAAAUUCAAAUUUAAUCAUGUGUUUCUAUGCUCUUGUAAAUAAAUAAAUAUAUGUUAUUUUCAAUUGUGUUAUGGUUAUGAUUAGAUUUAUAUAAAAAAUAUGGUUAUGAUUAGAUUUAUAUAAAAAAAAACAGGUCUCAAUUCAUUCGGAUCAGUCUCGUUUGUAUCUGUCUCACUUUUAGAUUUGAAAUCCGUUAAGCUCUAUUUAGUUUUUGGAACUAACAGAGUAAUCGGUUUAUACAUGCCAAAAUUCUUUUAAUCUAUUUAAAACCAUUUACGAUAUGAUGCUUAAACAUUCUUAAUAUUUAUUUUAAAUUAUAUAAACUAAGCUUUUGGAAGCUAAUCAGAAGCUAACACACCAGUAUAAUUACCAUUGUUUUUUUAUUAAAUAAUAAUUACCAAUGUUUCAAGGCAUGCUUGAAUAUUCCACUAAGAAAAAUCAUCGAAAUUGUUUAUACUAAUCUAAAAUCCUAGCAAAGGUGGGUGAAUCUUUUUUUUUAAAUAGUUAUACAUAUUUUCGAGAUGACAAAAUUUAACAAUAUGAUAAAAUCAUAUGAACACUCGAACAUUUAUGUAGAUUUUAGUUAUGUUAUAUAUCCAAGAAGAAAUGAAUAAUAUUAAGUAACAUCUAUUACAAAUAACAUAUCAAUUGGUAACAUCAGAUGGCAAAUCAAAUAACAUCAUUACGUAGUAAAUUCAUGUGCAUGCGUUACUAGCUAAGCUUGUAUUCACUUUAUAAAAGAAAAUACAAAAUAGCAAUAGCAAUAAUGAAGGGAAGAGCAGCUACGGAGGUACAGAUUCAUUGAUCGAAGAGUCGAGUUUUCUCCCAAUUGAAGAUCUCUGAAGCAAGAAAACAAAUAAUCUCUUGAAUCCUUCUGAUUUAAAUACCGACUGGUUUUAACUUUUGAUAAUAAAAUCCGGUUAUUGCCGGUUUAAAUAUAAACAUUUUUUUAAGUCGACAAAAAAAAACAUUUCAAAACAGAUGUAAAGUGAGUCAACACUAUGAUCGAUGACUUUCUAGUUGAUGAGAAACGUGCACAAAAAGAAAAGGGUAACACUAUGAUCGAUCACUUGCUUUCUCUCCAAGAAACUCAACCAGAUUAUUAUACGGAUGUCAUCGUCAAAGGACUCAUAGUUGUAAGUAUUGAGGAAUACAUUUAAUACAUCACUAACAACUAACAAGGCUAACUAAGCUUUUUAUAAUGACUAAUUCUUGACUUCUAUUUGGAUAGGUUAUGAUAUUUGCCGGAAAUGUAACAAGAACGUUAGAAUGGGCGAUGCUAAAUCUGUUGAACCAUCCAGAAGUACUAAAGAAAGCGAGGAUUGAAAUCGAUACAAACAUUGGUUUGGACAGGUUAAUAGAUGAACAGGAUGCGAAAAGUCUUCCUUACCUCCAAUGCAUCAUAUCAGAGAUUUUUCGACUUUACCCGGCAGCUCCUUUACUUGCUCCUCAUAGGGCUACAGAUGAUUGUAUAGUUGGAGGCUACGACUUCCCUCUUGGCACGACAUUAAUCGUGAACGUAUGGGCCGGCCAUUCACCGAGACCCAAACAUAUGGUAAGAGCCAGAAAAGUUCAAGUUAGAGCGGUUCGAGAAGAAAGGAGAAGAACAAAAGUUGAUGCCGUUUGGAAUGGGACGACGAGCUUGUCCCGGGUCUGGUCUAGCUCAACGGGUCGUGAGUUUGGCUCUCGGAUCGAUGAUUCAAUGUUUUGAAUGGGAGAGACUUGGAGAAGAAUAUGUUGACCUAAGCGAAGCAACCACAAUGCGUCCAACGACGCCGUUGCUAGCCAUGUGUAGAGCUUGUCCUAUUGUUCAUAAGAUUUUCAAUACUUCUUUUUGAGAUGUCACUCCCUUUUUAAAAAAUAUGUAUAUCCAUUUAUGUUAUAUCCAUUUUGAGAUGUAAUUAAAAUGAAAGACAAAGACUAGUCUUUGAUUUGCCUUAAGAUUUUCCAUUUUAUUAAAAUUCAAAAACUAUUUUUUUUUUUCAAAAACCAAAAUUUAGAAGUUAAAUGCUACUCCAUUAUCAAAUAAACUCACUUCUAAAUUUCUAUGAAUGAGGAGUAGUUUUUUACUUUGAGAAAGUGUGAAGAAAUUUUUCCAAUUUCUUAGUUUUUGUUUGUUUUUUUUUGAGAAAGGGUUAAGAAAAGGGAGCUUGUUUUAUAAUGGAAUCUCUCAUGCAAUUAUUCCCACCUGUCACUAGAGAUAUGUUCGUAACUUCGUAACGUCUCAUGCAAUUACUGACUAAUAAACAUGUGUGAUAAGUCACCAUUAAUAUUUAUUGUCUAUUUCUUUUGCUUUUAAUUAUUAGGGUUUUGAGUAGAAAUUUGUUUCUUUCUAAUAUUAUAGACAAUAUAUAUUGCUAGCGUUUACGUUUUUUAUUUUGGUUCAAAACAUAGUGGUUAAAAAUAAACAAAUCAUAAAUUUUUAUUAUUAGUCAUUAAUGAAUGAGAGACGUUACGAACAUAUCUUUAGUUUAUUAAAAAAAAAAAAAGAUAUCUUUAGUGACAGGUGUGAUAAUUGCAUGAGAGUUUUCAUUAUAAACUAAGCUACAUAAACUAAUAACUCCCACGUUCGAUUCAACACAUUUACAACAAGAAGAAGUUCUUGAUCUAAAAUGGAAACUUAUUUUCUUAUUUUAUCCCUCGCCAUCUUCUUUUUCAUUUCUCUUAAACUUUUGUUUAAUAAACCGCAUAACAAGUUUAACCUACCACCAAGUCCGGCGAGGCCACUACCGUUGAUUGGACACCUUCACCUCCUGAAGCAGCCUCUCCACCGCACAUUCCUAUCUUUCUCUCAAUCCCUCGGCAGUGCCCCAAUUUUCUCCCUCCGUCUUGGAAACCGUCUCGCGGUUGUCGUCUCCUCCUACUCCAUCGCAGAAGAAUGCUUCACGAAAAACGACAUCGUUUUGGCUAACCGACCAGAGUCCAUAGUCGGGAAAUACAUUGAGUACAACUUCACCACUGUGACCAGCGCGCCUUAUGGUGACCACUGGCGAAACUUGCGGCGUCUCAGCACCCUCGAGAUCUUCUCCUCGCACAAGCUCAAUGGCUUUAUAUCCGUCCGUAAGGACGAGAUCCGACACUUGCUACUUCGUCUCUCCAAAAACUCGCAACAUGUAUGUGAGCUUCUACAUAUUAGUACUCUAUGACUAUAUACAUUAUCAGAGUUUGUAACCUAGUAGUUUGUCUUAGUGUGGCCUCUAGGUCAUAACCUAUAUAUAUACAUUACUUGAAGAUCUGCUCAGAGUUUGUAACCUAGUAGUGUGGCCACUAAAUUAAAAGUCAUAACUUGAGUACCAUGCAACAAAAGUUUGAGAAUUAAUCAUUUGUUUAUUUGAUAAUAAAUUAGGGGUUUGCCAAGGUGGAGAUGAGAUCAUUGUUUAUGGAUUUGACUAUCAAUAACAUUCUCAGAAUGAUGGCUGGGAAAAGAUUUUAUGGUGAUGGAACAGAGCAAGACGACAAUGCACGGCGAGUGAGACAGCUUAUUGACGAGGUGGUAUCCUACGCCGGCGCCGGGAAUGCUACCGAUUAUAUCCCAAUCUUGCGUUGGAUCACAAGUUUUGAGAAACGGGUCAAGAACUUAGCGGGUCGGGUCGAUGAGUUCUUGCAGAGCCUGGUGGAUGAAAAACGUGCGGAUAAAGAAAAGGGCGACACUAUGAUGGAUCACUUGCUUUCUCUCCAAGAAAUCCAGCCUAAUUAUUACACAGAUAUCACUCUAAAGGGGAUUAUAGUUGUAAGUAUUUAUUUUCUACAUUUAUUAAUCUUGAAUAAUCUAUUUAAUAUAUAACAACACAAACUAAACAUUUGUUAAUUUAAUUUUUACAGGUUAUGAUACUUGCCGGAACUGAAACACUAACAGGAACAUUAGAAUGGGCUAUGUUGAAUUUGUUGAAUCAUCCAGAGGUAUUAACGAAAGUAAGAACCGAAAUCGAUACCAAAAUCGGUUUUGACCGGUUAAUAGAUGAACAAGAUAUUAAAAAGCUCCCUUAUCUCGAAGGGAUUGUGUUGGAGACCUUACGUCUCCACCCUGUAGCUCCUACACUUGUUCCACAUAUGACGUCAGAUGAUUGCAUGUUGGCCGGAUACGAUGUUCCAAGUGGAUCCAUGCUAUUGGUGAACGUAUGGGCCAUGCAUAGAGACCCGUCUCUAUGGGAAGAUCCAGAAAUGUUCAAGCCAGAGAGGUUCGAAAAUGAAAAUGAAAAUCAAAAGGUGUUGUCGUUUGGGAUUGGACGACGAUCAUGUCCCGGGGUUGGAUUAACUCAUCGGCUAGUGAGCUUGGCUCUUGGAUCGAUGGUUCAAUGUUUCGAAUGGGAGAGAAUUGGAGAAGAAUAUAUUGACACUAGAGAGGCACCUAUGAUGCGUCCAACUACCCCGUUGCAAGCCAUGUGUAAAACUUGUCCCAUUGUCCAUAAGAUUCUCGAUGCUUAUGCUUGAAUUGUAACUCUUCUUGGUUUGAUUUAUGUUCGGAAAUACUACAUCAACUUGUUUUGAGUUGGGAAAUAAUUCAAAAUCCUUCUAAGAACGCUCUCAUGCAAACUGUUGAAUGUAUCUUCAAGGUUCUGAUCACCAUCUAGCUGAGUCUUUACGGAAAAUUAGAUCGUCACUAAAUAUUAUCAUUUUACCUUCGAAUAUAUUGAUUUUGUUGCCCUGAUGAUACACUUGAAAUAAAUAAAAAACAACCAUAGAGACACUCAAAUAAAAAAAAAGCUCAUAGCUUUAAAAUUUCUUGUAUAUUUUGAAACUAAAAUUAAGCUAUAUUACUUAUACUGAUAUUCCAUUUCUUCACAGUAUGAUCUAAUGAUUUUUGCAAUCCUCUAUGCUUUUGUUGUUGCAAUUAUACUUAUAUCUCCAUUUCAUUACAGUAUGAUAUAUAUAUAUAUAUAUAUAUUGUAAGUUUUGCAAUCCUCUACAUAUCAUUCUUCCCACAGCUCUAUCUGAAAAUUCCAUAUAUAUGUUCAACUUAUCUCUCUUCGUGUGUUGUGAAUUGUGUAUUAGAUUUGAGUAUUACAUUUGUACUUUUACAAUUCUUUUUUUUUUUUAUAAUCUUGAAGUGCUCUAGGAAUUAUAAUUAUUAUAUCAUGUUGGAUUUUUAAGAAUUUUGGUUUUUAUGAUAUUUUGUAAAAAAUUAGAGAGUGAUGUGUUUCUAGGGACAAAAGACGAAGACUUGAAAAAUCAACCCUCGUCUUUUUCCUCAUCGUCCCAUUAGAAAUCUCAGUUUUCUCUUCAAUCUUAUCUUCUUCCUCAGAAUCCUCUUCACAUCGACCACAGGUUUCUUCAUCCAUCGACUUAUUGAAAUUUCUUGUAGUAUAAGUUAAACCAAAAUGUGUGGAAACUAUUCAACACAAAAGACUUUUCACUCUCUUCUUUCAACGUGAAUAACACUUCGUACGAAGGACUAAAUGGUGAGCCAAGCGAAGCUGAGUGGAUAUGGAGCACUGACUAUAUGUAUUUAAAGAGAUGGCAUGAAAACAAUUUAACCAUCACAAUUUCCAUUUGCUCGCUUCUUUUUCACUAUUGAUUUUCAAGAAAGUUAAAAAUUAGCUUAAAGAAAAAACGAAAGGCUCUUGAAACUCAAUGAGUACCAUUCAUAUUUCUCUUUCUUUUCUCCUCUUGUUCGUUUUUAGUUUUCAUGACGUGUUUGCUGCUCCUACUAGACACUUGUGUCGUCCGGAGCAAAGGGAUGCACUUCUCGAGUUCAAGAAUGAGUUUGAGAUUCGGAAGCCUUCUUUUGAGUGUUAUGUUAAUGGUAGCUAUGUGCGCCCUUACCCGAAGACGGAGUCAUGGGCAAAUAACACUGAUUGUUGUUAUUGGGAUGGGAUCAAGUGCGAUGCCAAAUCUGGGGAAGUGAUCGAGCUAGACCUCAGUUGCAGCUGUCUCUACGGCAAGUUUCGUUCCAAUACCAGUCUGUUUAGGCUUCACAGCUUUCGUUUUCUCACCACUUUAUACGUUUCAUAUAAUGAGUUACAUGGUCAAAUCCCGUUCUCAAUUGGAAAUCUUUCUCUUCUUACUUCUCUCGACCUUUCUUCCAAUGGGUUUUCGGGUCAGAUUCCAUCUUCAAUUGGAAAUCUAUCACUGCUUACCUUUCUGAGACUUUCUGAUAAUCAGUUUUCGGGUCAGAUUCCAUCUUCAAUUGGAAAUCUUUCACAGAUUACCACUCUCCGUUUUUCCUUUAAUCAGUUUUCGGGUCAGAUUCCGUCUUCAAUUGGAAAUCUUUCACUUCUUACCUCUCUUGAUCUUUCUUCCAAUCAGUUUUCGGGUGAGAUUCCAUCUUCAAUUGGAAAUCUUUCACUGCUUACCUCUCUCUAUCUUUCUUUCAAUCAGUUUUUGGGUCAGAUUCCAUCAUCAAUUGGAAAUCUUUCACUGCUCACCUCUCUCCAUCUUUCUUAUAAUGGGUUUUCGGGUGAGAUUCUAUCAUCAAUUGGAAAUCUUUCACUGCUCACCUCUCUUCAUCUUUCUUAUAAUGGGUUUUCGGGUGAGAUUCCAUCCUCAAUUAAAAAUCUUUCACAGCUCACCUUUCUCAAACUUUCUUCCAAUCAGUUUUCGGGUCAGAUUCCAUCUUCAAUUAAAAAGCUCUCUCAUCUCCAAACUCUUCACCUCAGAUAUAACAAAUUCACUGGUGAAAUCCCAGAUUCUUUUGCCAGUUUGAAAAAUUUGACCGAGUUAGAUGUUAGUUUCAAUAAGCUUAGUGGUAAUUUUCCAAUUUGGCUACUAAAUUUGACAAAGUUGUCGUAUUUAUCACUCGAAUACAAUCAACUCACAGGAACGCUUCCCUCAAACAUUAGCUCACUCUCCAACUUGCGAUAUUUUUGGGCACGUGACAAUGAUUUCGUUGGAACCAUUCCUUCUUCUCUCUUCACCAUUCCUUCUUUGACAAGAAUUUAUUUGUCAAAUAACCAACUCAACGGCACUCUUGAGUUUGGGAAUAUAUCUUCACCAACAAAGCUAGAGUGGUUAGAGCUUGGCGGUAACAACUUGAGAGGGCCAAUACCGAGAUCCAUUUCCAAAUUAGUCAACCUCCGGGGACUUUACCUUUCCAAUUGGAACACCCAAUUAGGCCCAAUUGACUUGAGUAUCUUCUCGCAUCUCAAGUCACUCGGAUUUCUUUACUUAUCCCAUUUGAACACCACCACCACGAUUGACUUGAAUGCCAUCUUAUCAUUUUUCAAGUCGCUCGAAGGAUUGGAUCUCUCAGGCAACCAUGUUUCAGCCGAAACCAAGAGCUCAGUUUCAGAUCCUCCUUCGCAAAUGAUACGAGAAUUAAACUUGUCAGGCUGCGGUAUUACCGAAUUUCCAGAGAUCAUAAGAACCCUGCAGUCUAUGGAGAGACUAGACAUUUCCGACAACAAAAUCAAAGGUCAAGUGCCUGGCUGGUUAUGGACUCCACCAAAUCUGACGUACGUGAAUCUUUCCAACAACACUUUCGUCAGUUUCGGAAGACCAACGAAACAUGGACUAUCCUCUGGCUUGUGGUACUUGUCUGGCUCCAGAAACAAUUUCACGGGAAAGAUUCCCUCCUUCAUAUGUGCGUUGGGCUCUCUAAGCGUUCUCGAUUUAUCUGAAAACAACUUCACGGGAAAGAUUCCCUCCUUCAUAUGCGCGUUGGGCUCUCUAAGCGUUCUCGAUUUAUCUGAAAACAACUUCAAUGGUUCAAUCCCUCUUUGUAUGGAGAAUCUCAAGAGUAAUCUUUCGGUUCUAAACCUCCGUCAGAAUCAUCUUAGCGGAGGCCUUCCGGAGAAUGUAUUUGAAAGUCUAAGGUCCCUUGACGUUGGUCAUAACCAACUGGUGGGAAAGCUUCAAAGAUCUUUGAUCCAUUUCUCUGCCCUUGAAGUUCUAAAUCUGGAAAGCAACAGAUUCAACGACACCUUUCCGUUUUGGUUGAGUUCUCUACAAAACCUGCAAGUUCUUGUCUUACGCUCCAAUGCAUUCCAUGGACCGAUUCAUCGAGCCUCCUUCCUUCAGCUGAAAAUCAUGGACAUCUCGCAUAAUCACUUCAACGGAGUUUUACCGUCGGAUUACUUUGUGAACUGGAGUAAAAUGUCAUCACUUGGGACAGAAAAAGAUCGGUCGGAUGUAAACUACAUGGGAGAAGGUACCUAUUACGAAGAUUCAAUGGUUUUGAUGAAUAAAGGCUUAGAGAUGGAGCUGGUACGUAUAUUAAAAAUCUUCACAGCACUCGACUUCUCCGGAAAUAGAUUUGAAGGAGAGAUUCCAAGGUCCAUCGGCCUAUUGAGAGAGCUUCACGUGCUCAACUUGUCAAACAAUGCUUUCACUGGCCACAUUCCAUCAUCUAUGGGGAACCUGACAGCUCUCGAGUCACUUGACGUUUCCCAAAACAAGCUUUCAGGUGAGAUCCCACAAGAGCUAGGGAAUCUCUCGUACCUUUCUUCCAUGAACUUCUCUCAUAACCAGCUUGUCGGUCUAGUACCUGGAGGCACUCAGUUUCGAACGCAGCCUUGCUCUUCCUUCGAACACAACUCAGGACUUUUUGGCCCUUCUCUUGACGAAGUUUGCAAAGAUAUCCACAAGCCAUCAUCGCAAGAGUAUGAAACACCGGAGGAGGCAGAGGAAGAAGACGAAGAGGUGUUUAGUUGGAUUGCAGCUGCAAUAGGAUUUGGACCUGGCAUUGUAUUAGGAUUGACGAUUGGAUACAUAUUGGCCUUCUACAAACCGAGGUGGUUCACGAGUCCUUUUGGCCGAAACAAACACAGAAGCAGAAGCACCACAGCUCAUUAAGUGAGGUAAUCUUCUGAAUUUCAUAGAUUAUAGACUAUGUAUAGUAUAAUGAAUUUUUCUGGGUUAAUGUAUACUGUAUGUGAAAAUUAACUUUUUACGCCGUUUUUGUUUGUAUAGCGUUCUUAAACCCAAGAUGAAAAAUCUUUGAAAAAGAGAAUGAAGCAACCAGACCAUAGGACUGUAGAGAAAGAAGCUUGGGGAGAAGGCAACCCAUUUUAUCAAAAACUAAAUAUCAGUGAUUGUUUCCGGUUUAGUUUUGUGUGUUUAUCAUAUACUCUGUUUUUAGCCAAUGUUUUUGUUUCUCUGUAAUUGAACAAUGAAAGACUGUUUACAAAGCUCAAACUUAUUCCUAUUUCUCUGUGAUUGGACAUGAUUUGAGAGAGGUUAUAAUGCUCUUGCUCCGACUAAAUCAAUCAUUCUUCUGCCAAAUGAAGAACUAAGAUUCAACACACAUCUCAGAAAAUUGAUCCUUUUUCUCUUUUGGUAAUAUUAAUUAGCUGAGUAAAAUGAUAACUUAAUUAGUUUAUUGAAAGAUAUUUCACUGAGAAAUAUAUUAGUUAGUGGCGAUCAGGAUCAGCGACCAAUUAAAGCUAUAGAUAUAGUUGCUUAAAACCCAAGCUUUGCCAUUACAAUGAGGAAAAAAAAUCAUCUCACAAAUCAUUCCACUUUCCAACUACUGAAACUCUACAAUAGUCAAAUGACUCAAAUCGGAAUAAGAAAGUUAUACAUACACACAUAAUUUAAGGUCACAAUGACAAAAUCGUCGGUCUUACCAAAAAGAGUAUAAGUAUUCAUCAAAAGACAUCUUCUAAAAUGAAUUAUAUUAAAAAAAUUUGGUGAAAACAAACAAGAAAUUUUUACUGCUUAAUUAUUUUUGUUUUUAAAAACCAAAAGGUAAAUGGAAGUCGCUCUAAUUUUUACUUAUAAACCAAAACAAGAAAUUUUCAGUUAUAUCGUUCUAAGAUGAUGCAAUUGAUAGUAUAAUCUAUACGACUCUAUACUCCACUGAUACUUUUUCGUUUUUAAGCAGACAACUUUUCAGAGUACAAAUCUUUUGUUAUUUUUAUUCCUGGGAGAUGUAUAUCCUAUAAACAAAACUGUGUUAAAUGGAAGGACUUCAUGGACACCAAAACCAGAGGAGAAACGAAGACAGACGGUUUAGAAAUAUUUUGAUCACAUCCAAAAAAUAUAAUUCGAUAUUUUUUAUCAGAUUAAAGAAAAAACGUAUCAUUUUGAUCACAUCACAAAGUCAGUGCAAAAUCACAUCCAAAAAACUGUGAUAAUUUUGAUCACAUCACAAAGUCAGUGCAAAAUCAUAUAAAAAAAAUUCGAAUAAAGAAAAAACGUAUCAUGCCAAACGAAACCAAACAAAUAAAUAGAUAACAGUUGACUGACCGAGUCAGUCAUGGACAAAAACGAAGACUUGAAAAGUCAACUCCGGUCUUCUUCCUUAUUGUCCCACCAAUAAUUUACUUUUUUUCCUUCAAUCUCAUCUUCUUCCUCAAUCCUCUGAACAUCGACCACAUAUUUCUUCAUCCAUUGACCUCAAAACUUGACUUUCAUAGUUUCACUAUUGACUCUCUUUCUUUCUCUCUCUCUCUCUAGAUUUUCCAACAAAGCUAUGGAGAAACUCUGUUUUCGAAACUCAUUUUCUCUCUUUAUGACGACUGUGGUCAUUAUUCUUCUUCCUCGUUGCACUCUUUCUGCUACUUCUAUAUAUUCUCAUCGUCCCGAGAAGUUUUACGUCAACUGUGGGUCGGAUUCUAUUGUCACUUAUGGUGGUCGGACCUUCGUCGGAGAUAUGAUCUCCGGUGGCAACUCCGUUUCUUUCAACAGUAAAGGAACUGAAGCCAUCAAUCAAUCAGGAUCAGGAAUCUAUGAAACGGUUAGGAUAUUCAGACGCCCUUCUUCUUACAAGUUCCAACUCGAUUCCAUUGGUCUGCACUUCGUGCGUCUCCAUUUCUCUGCUGUCUCUUCUCGGACAGAGCUUUUAACUGCUCGUUUCACAGUCUCAGCUACUUCUCACUUGAAAAGUUUCUCGCUUCAGAAUUUCAAUGAGACCCCACGAGUUGAGGAGUUUCUCCUGAUGAUUGACUCGCCAGAAUUCGAAAUUCGAUUUGUGCCCGAUCAUUCAUCCAUGGCUUUUGUCAACGCCAUCGAAGUGUUCUCUGCUCCUAAUGACCUAGAAAUUCCGUCAGACUCCGACAAGAAUCUGCAUACGGUUUACAGAUUAAACGUAGGAGGCAAGAAGAUCACACCAGAAAACGACACCUUGGGAAGAACUUGGUCAGUUGACGAGGACUUCCUCUACGAAAAAGAUUCUGCGAGGAACAUUAAUUCAACACAAAAGCCUAACUACGAGUCAGGGACAGCGACGCCAUUCACUGCUCCUGAUUUUGUCUAUCAGACAGCGAAAACGAUGAACCAUAGCUCGAAUGAGGGGAUGGCAGAUGGGAUGUUGAUGAACGUUACUUGGUCAUUUAAGGUCAAUAGCAACUCUAGACACUUACAUCAGGGUUCACUUCUGUGAUAUCAAGAGUGAAUCACAAAAUCCCGACUCCGAUUUCUAUCUCUAUGUAAACGGACAAUCACGACUAGAUGUAAAGCCUUCAGAGCGUAUUAGGUUGGUGACUCCGUUUUUCAAAGAUGUGAAUGUCUCUGAUGGUUUUGGACUCUUGAAUGUUACAAUAGGUACUAAGGAUUCCACUAAGGAUGCUGGUUUUCUGAAUGGUCUGGAGGUGAUGGAGUUUUUGAAAAAGUCAGAUUCUUCAGAUAAAAGUAGUUUCCGGGUUUACAUCAUCGCUGGCUGUGUUGUUGCUGCAUCGGUUCUGGUGUUGAGUUUGUUGUUCACAGUCUUCUUGAAGCGGAGGAGACUGAAGAAGGAGAAGAAGUCAGAUGCUGAGGUCACUGAAUGGUCUCCUUUGCCAUUGUACAGAGGUGCUGGGAGUUCCGACAAUAGACCUUCUGAUCCGGUCAACAAUUCUCCAUUACGCAGCAAUAGAACAUUUGAUCCGGUCUACAAUUCGCCAUUACGCAACCUAAACUUAGGCUUGACCAUUCCCUUCAUAGACAUUAUGAGAGCUACAAACAAUUUCGACGAGCAGCGGUUGAUCGGGAGAGGCGGUUUUGGAGACGUUUACAAAGCCAUUCUUCAAGAUGGAAGCAAAGCGGCUAUCAAGAGAGGCAAG